UGUGCAAUUCAGUUCAAUAUCCUUUUCAUUUUAUUGUCAAACAAUUGCAAAGCUUUGCAAUAUCUGGUUCAUCAUGUUUUAAAAUUCAAAAAUAAAAUACAUUAUAGGUUUUAAUUUAGUACUAGAAUAGAAAUCUGAACUGCCUUGUAAUUCAUAUUUCUUAUCUUCUGUUCAGCUGUAUUCUACAUUCUAUACACCAAUCAGCCAUAAGAUUAAAACCACCUGCCUAAUAUUGUGUAGGUUCCCCUUGUGCCACCAAAACAACUCUGACCUGUCGAGACAUGGACUCCACAAGACCUCUAAAGGUGCGCUGUGAUAUCUGGCACAGAUAUCAGCAGUUGGCAGCAGAUUCCUGUAAGUCUUAUAAGUUGCGAACUGGAUUGAGCUUGUUGCUCGAUCGGAUUGAGAUCUGGGGAAUUUGGAGACCUUGAACACUGUCAUGUUCCACAAACCAUUCCUGAGCAAUUUUUGCAGUGUGGCAGGGUGCAUUAUCCUGCUGAAACAGGUCAAUACCAUUAGGGAAUACCGUUGCCAUGAAGGGGUGUACUGCAUCAAUGUAUAGAUGGUACAUGUCAACGUAACACUCACAUGAAUCCCAGGACCCAAGGUUUCCCAGCAUCAUACUUCCUCUGCUGGAUUUCCUUGUUCCCUCAGUGCAUCCUAGUGCCAUGUUUUCCCUAGGUAAGCGACACGGAUGCACCCAGCCAUCCACGUUAUGUAAAAGAAAACCUGAUUCAAUAGACCAGGCCACAUUCUUCUGUUAUUCCACGGUCCAGUUCUUCUGCUCCCGUGGCCAUUGCACUUUUGGCAAUGGACAGGGGUCAGCAUAUGCACUUUGACUGGUCUAUGGUUACACAACCUCAUAUGUAGCAAGCUAUGAUGCACUGUGUGUUCUGACACCUUUCUAUCAUAGCCAGCAUUAACUUUUUCAAAAAGUUGUGCUACAGUAGCUCUUUUGUGCUAUCAGACAAGACUGGCUAGCCUUUGCUCCCCACGCACAUCACUGCACCUUGGGCACCAAUGACUCUGUUGCCGGUUCUCCUUCCUUGGACCCCUUUUGGUAGGUACUAACUGCUGCUUCCUGAGAACACCCCGCAAGACCUGCCGUUUUAGAGAUGCUCUGACCCAGUCGUCUAGCAAUCACAAUUUAACCCUUGUAAAAGUUGCUCAGAUCCUAACACUUGCCCACUUUCCAUGCUUUCAACACGUCACCUUUGAGAACUGACUGCUCCCUUUCUAUCCCACCCCUUGAUAAGUGCCACUGUAAUGAGAGAAUCAUUAUUCACUUCACCCAUCAGUGGUUUUAAUGUUAUGGCUGAUUGAUGUAAUUGAAUAACAUGUCAUGUGUAUUAUAGUUUAUUAAGGAAUGCUUUAUAAAGUCAUGUGAAAAAAAUAAGUACACCCUAUGGAAAUUGCUGACACUUUUGACAUAUUUGGACAAGCAAAGAUUUGAUCAUCUUUUGAAACAGUGCCUAUUAAUAAAGGUGAUAUACUUGAAAAAACCCACAAGGAAAAUUAGCUUUUUUUAUUCAUUUAUUCAACAGAAAUAUCAAUAGAUGUAAUAUUCUUCUGUGGAAAAAGUAAGUACACUCUCGGCCUCAGAAGCUGGUAUUGCCCCCUUUAGCAGAAAUAUCUUCUUGUAGGCAUUUUCCAUAAUUGUCCACCAGGCUUGCUGGAUUUUUUGACCAGUCUUCCAUGCAAUAUUCUUUCAGUUGUAAGAUGGUUGAGGGUUUUCUUGCAUGUACUGCCCGUUUUAAAUCCCCCCACAACAUUUCAAAUCCGGGCUUUGACUAUGCCAUUCGAUAACUCUCCAUUUCUUCUUUUUGAGCCAUUCCAUGGUGGAUUUGCUAGUGUGAUUAGGAUCAUUAUCUUGUUGAAACGUACACUUUUGUCUCAACUUCUACUUUUGGACAGAUGUCCUCACAUUAUCUCCAAGCACUCUUUGAUAUGAUGCAGAAUUCAUAGUUGAAUCGCAAACCGUCCGGUCCCUGAGGCAGCAAAGCAACCCCAAACCAUUACAUUUCCACCACCAUGCUUCACAGUUGUUAUGAGGUGCUUCUCUUGAAAAGCAGUCCUUGGUCUGCACCAAACAUGUCUGCUGUUGCUGUGUCCAAACAACUGUCUUUGAUUCAUCUGUCCAGAGCAUAUUAUUCCAAAAGGCCUGGUCUUCGCCUGUAUGCUCAUUGGCAAUCUUUAGUCUUGCAAAGGCUUUUUCCUGGCACAUCUCCCAUGCAGCUCAAAUUUCUGCAAACUCUUUCUGAUUGUAUAAGCAUGCACUUUGACACAAACUGACAUCUAGCAGAUUCUGUGAUUGAAUUUUGGGGUUCUUUGCUGGGACAGCCAGUCCAGGACAAAUUGGCAGUUGUUUGAAAUCUGCGCCAUUUGUAGAUUCUUUUCCUUACAGUGAAAUGAUGUAUUUAAAAUAAUUUGGAGAUCUUUUUUAAUCCCUUGCCUGACUCAAAGGCAUCCACAACCUUUUUUUCUGAAUGCCUUACAGAACUCUUUAGAUCCUGUCAUGACACCACACACCUCAAUAGCAAAGGGAACACCAGACACUAGAAUCUACUUAGGGAGUGCAGGUGGAACCUGUCUUAUUUAUACCCCUCUUGUAUCUAGAAACUGGCACUCAAUCUUGAACAUCUGAUUCUAAUUUUAUGGAUUUGAAGGUGUGAUAAAUGUAGGGGUGUACUUACUUGUUCCAGGUGACUGAUCUGUUUUAAGUUGUGACAAUUACUGCAAAGUAUAAAUUUUAUGUAUCAAUUGAUAGUGUAUCACUUUUAUUAAUAAGCAAUGUUUCAAAGAGGAUCCAAUAUUUGCUUGUCCAAAUAUGUCAAAAAAGCCAACAAUUUCGAUAGGUUGUACUUAUUUUUUCACAUGAUUGUAUGGAAUGUAAUCACUAUUUUGGGCUUGGAAUUAAAAUUUGGCAAUACUUUUUAUACCUGUGCCACUAAUUGGGUGAGAGAUUACAUUUAUGGGUUGUCCAUCCAUUUAUUUUUUCUUUUCUUCAAAAGCUUCCUUCCUGUUUGCCACACAAAGAUGGUACACCUUCAUGGUCAGGAACUCCACUUUCGUUUUCAUUGCUAUCUGUGGUUUUUCCACCAGUCCAUCCAUCUGUCCAUCCUUCUGGCCAUCCUUCAGUGUGCCUACACGUCUGUCUGAGAUUCUUGUUAACACAAUAUCUCAAGAAUGAAUGGUUGAAUGGUUGUCAAGUUGUCAAGUGGCUUUUAUUGCCAUUUCAACCAUAUACAGCUGGUACAGUACACAGUGAAAUUAAACAAUGUUCCUCUUGAACCAUGGUGCUACAAAAAAACAACACACUAUCUACAUGAGACGACAUGGAACUAAAUAAGAUCUACACAUUUUUACAUAAAGUACCCAUGCAAACGUGUACUUACAACACAACAGUAACUACUAAAACAGGAACAAUAGGCACAGUAAGUGACAGUGUAGCGCCGACUAGUACACAGGUCUAGUAUGAGUAGUGUCUGAUAUAACAGGUUAUGCAAAAGACAGGUGCAGAAGAGUUAGAGUAUAAUUAAAAAAUGCUGUGAAUGUAAACAUAACAUGCUAUGACUUGGUACUCAGCAGAUAAGCUUAUACCAAAUAUAGACAUAGCAGUUAUUGCAGUAGCAGCCAGGUAAAGUGUAUAAUAGUGACAAGAAAUUAAAUAAUAUAUUUUUCUAAAUACAGUAGCAGCAAAAAUGCAAUACAGUCGAUACAGAAAUGUGCAAAUAUUGUAACGGGAGUGGGAUGUUGUUCAGUGUGCGUGUUUGCGUCCAGUCUCUGAGUAUUUAGGAGUCUGAUGGCUUAGGGGAAGAAACUGUUACAUGGUUUGGCCCUGAGGGCCUGAAUGCUUCAGUACCUUUUUCCAGGUGGCAGGAGGGUGAAGAGUUUGUGUGAGGGGUGUGUGGGGUCAUCCACAAUACGGGUGGUUUUGCAGAUGCAGCGUGUGGUAUAAAUGUCUAUGAUGGAGGGAAGAGAAACCUCAAUGAUCUUCUCAGCCGUCCUCAAUAUCGUCUGCAGGGUCUUGCAAUCUCAUACGGUGCAAUUUCCAAACCAGGCAAUGAUGUAGCUGCUCAGGAUGCUCUCACUGAUUCCUCUGUAGAAUGUGGUGAGGAUGAGGGGUAGGAUGUGCUUUUCUCAGCCUUUUCAGGAAGUAGAGGUACUGCUGAGCUUUCUUGGUUAUGGAGCUGGUGUUGAGGGACCAAGUGAAGUUCUUCCAUCAGGUGAACACCAAGGAAUUUGGUGCUCUUGACGAUCUCCAUGGAUGAGCCGUUGAUGUUCAGUGGAGAGUGGUCGCUCCUUGCUAUCCUGAAGUCAACAACCAUCUCUUUUGUUUUGUCGACAUUCAGAGACAGGUUGUUGGUUCUGCACCAGUCCAUUAGCAGUUUCACGUCCUCUCUGUAUGCUGACUUGUUCUUGCUGAUGAGACCCACCCAGUUAUGUCAUCAGCAAACCUGAUGAUGUGAUUGGAGCACAGUGAACAGCAGUGGACUGAGCACACAGCCCUGGGGGGCCCCUAUGCUCAGUGUGGUGGUGCUGGAGAUGCUGUUCCUGAUCCUGACUGAGGUCUCCCAGUCAGGAAGUCCAGGAUUCAGUUGCAGAAGGAGGUGUUCAAGCCCUGCAAGUUCAGCGUUCCAAUCAGGUGGUGGUGAUGGCAUCAUCUGUUGAGCAGUUGGAGCGAGCUGCAGGGUGUCCAGUGAGGGGGUCAGCAGGGUCUUGAUGUGCCUCAUGACAAGCCUCUCGAAGCACUUCGUGAUGAUGGGUGUAAGCGCAAAGGGACGGUAGAUGUUGAGGCAGAACACUGAAGACCUCUUCAGGACGGGGACGAUGGUGGCCUUGAAGCAUGUUGGAACGACGGCACUGCUCAGGAAGAUGUUGAAGAUGUCAGUGAGAACAUACGCCAGCUGGUCUGCACAGCCUGUGAGCACUCUGCCAGAUGUUGUCUGGUUCAGCAGCUUUCCGUGGGUUGACUCUGUUUAGAGUUUUCCUCACAUCAGCCGUGGUUAGACAUAGCACCUGGUCGUUGGUAGGAGGGGUGGCCUUCCUCGCCGCCACAUCAUUCUGCACCUAAAACUGAGCAUAGAAGUUGUUCAAUGCAUCUGGGAGGAAGGCAUAACUGUCACAGGCUGGUGAUGUCCUGUAGGUGCUGAUGGCCUGGCCUGAAUGCCGUGCCACAUGCACCAUGUGUCACUGCUGUCCAUGAAGUUGCUGUGGAUUUUCUGGGCGUGUGCACACUUUGCUUCUCUGAUGGCCCGGGACAGUUUUGCCCUGGCUGUUCUUAGGGCCACCUUGUCAUCUGCCCUGAAGGUGGAUCUCGGGUACUCAGCAAUGCACGCAACUCCACAGUCAUCCAUGGUUUCUGGUUGGAGUGUGUGGUGAUUGUCUUGGAGACAGUGACGUCAUCAGUGCACUUGCUGAUAUAGCUGGUCACAAAUGCCAUGUAUACCUCCACGUUGGUGGUGUAAGAAAAAAUUAUGAGGAUGUCCAAGAUUUCAAUGAAGAAUAACUUUAUUACAGCAUGGCAGUGCCAAAGUACAUGAAGCACUUCGGGUUCAUCGGAGUCAAACCAGGUUUUCAGCAUGUAAUGUAAAUGAAGUUUCACUCUAAAUGUAAAUUAAGGAUAUCAUUUGAUGUGAUCACUUUCUGUUCCCACAGUACUGAUGUCAGGUGUGACCCCCAAAUGGUGAGGUGAUAGGAUUGUCUAGACACAUGGUUUUCUGAAUGAUAAUUACGGUCACGCACCCCUUUGUUCAGGAAUGGUUCUUGAUGUCCCACUGUUGCUCCCAUGUUAUAACUGAGUGAAUGUCAUUUUAGGUGGUAUUAUACGCAUAUUGCUGAGACUGAGGUAAAUUUUCCUUUUGAUAAUUCAGCCUUUUUCAGGGAAGAACUUUUUCCAACAGCUACCUUGGAAUGGAAUCUGUUUAGAGACAGUCUCUAAUUUCUUACAGUGGAGGCACUGUUGGUUGCAGCCUCCCUGAAUAUGUGCUAGUCAGUGUGCUCAAAACAGUCUUGAGGAGCAGAGAUGGCUCCUGCUGGCCAUGUUUUCACUUGCUUCAAAACCAGUUUGGAGCGUCUGAUGAGCACUCUGUAUACUGGGAUUAGCAUAAUGGAGAUUAGGUCCGAGUAGCCGAGGUGGGGGUGGGGCUCCACCCGGUAUGCGCCGGGGAUGUUUGUGUGAACAAGAUCCAGCAUUUUCACCCCUUUUGUUGCAAAGUUCACAUGUUGAUGGAAUUUAGGGAGCACUGAUUUGAGAUUCUCAUGGUUAAAAUCUCUAGCGAUGAUAAGUAGUACAUCGGGGUGUGUGUUCUGCUCCUCCGUGGAGAUCAUCAAGAUUACUUGGUCUUCCUCACCUGGUCCUUCAACACCAACUCCAUAGCCAAGAAAGCCUAGCAGCAUCUCAACUUUCUGCAAAGGCUGAAAAAAGCCCACCUCCACCUCCCAUACUCACAAAAUUCUACAGAGAAACUAUUGAGAGCAUCCUGAGCAGCUGCAUCACUGUCUAGUUCGGAAAUUUCACCUUAUCGGAUCGCAAGACCCUACAAGAGAUAGUGAGGACAGUUGAGAAGAUCAUUGGGGUCUCUCUUCCCUCCAUCAUAGACAUUUACGCCACACGAUGCAUCCGCAAAGCCACCAGCAUUGUGGAUGACCCCACACACCCCUCACACAAACUCUUCACCCUCUUGUAGUCUGGAAAAAGGUACCAAAGCGGUAACACGUUAAUGUUACUUUUUUUUUUUUUUUUUUUUUUCUUAAAGUGUUAUUUCUAAUCAGCAAAUAUGAAAUUCUGCAAUCUUUAACAGCCAUUUUCCCAAAAUGAGUGUAUUUCAACACUCAUUAUUUAAAAAAAAAUCUUUAUUUUCUCGACUUACUGUGCCUGUUGUCCUGUUUUAGUAGUAUUGUACUGUCCUGUGCUGUUAGCACACGUCUGCACGUGAACUUUGAGUAGAGUGUGUAGAUCUUAUUUAGUUCUGUGUCGUCUCAUGUGGUUAGCGUGUUGUUUUAUGUAGCACCAUGGUCCUGGAGGAACAUUGUUUUGUUUCACUGUGUACUGUACCAGCUGUAUAUGGUUGAAAUGACAAUAAAACCCCUUGAACUAAUUUUCUCGUGAUCUCGACAUACCAAAAUAGUUAUUUUCUCAUGAUAUCGAAAUAGCAAAGUUGUUUUCUCAUGAUUCCGAAUAAAUUUUUCUGUGUACUUUAUAUAACAUUUUUUUAUUGUUCUGGAGGCAGCAAAAAACUAGCGCAAUCCCACAGCAUCAUGGAUGAACAGAGAUAUUUUUUUUACUUUGUUCAGGGACUCAAUCAAGCUGAAAUAGCUGUCAGUGACUGACAACUUCCACAUUAGUGUCUGAUACUUGAGAAGGGGACAUCCCUCUCUCUUAAUAGUGAGAUAAAGCUCAUCUCUACAGCGGGUAUUUAUUGCAUUUAUGAUUUCGAAGACUCCAAUGUGCAUGUAACACCGCUCCCAUUCACAAAGUGUGAGAUUUUCUUGUGAAAAAAAUGGCAUCAUGAGAAAACAGCUUUUUAUGUCCUGUCAUGAUCACGAGAAGAAAAUGUUUGUUGAUAUCACGAGAAAACAAAGAAAGGAAAAAAAUAAUUAAUUACCGCUUAGGGCUUCCAUAGAUUGCUAUAGACUGUAGGCCUGUUAAUAUGGUGGAAGGGGGUUGAUGGAAACAUUUUGAAUUGCUUCCUCCGAUACAACCUAAAAGUUUGUGUAAUAAAUCUAAUAAAAUUUUAUAUAUUUAUUUUUAAAGCUACUUUUUUGUAAUGUCUAUUCAGUGCUCUUCUCAUCUAAAACAGUAAUGACAUUGAAUGAUCUUUUGGGGGUAAUUUCUUUGUGAUUAAUUCGAUUAAUUAAUCGGCACAUCAUGUAAUCAAUUUGAUAAAAAUGUUUAAUUGAUUGACAGCCCUAAUAAAAAUCCUAUUGUAA